GACGAACGCUGGCGGCGCGCCUAACACAUGCAAGUCGAACGAGCGAGAGGGAGCUUGCUUUCUCAAGCGAGUGGCGAACGGGUGAGUAACGCGUGAGGAACCUGCCUCAAAGAGGGGGACAACAGUUGGAAACGACUGCUAAUACCGCAUAAGCCCACGACCCGGCAUCGGGUUGAGGGAAAAGGAGCAAUCCGCUUUGAGAUGGCCUCGCGUCCGAUUAGCUAGUUGGUGAGGUAACGGCCCACCAAGGCGACGAUCAGUAGCCGGCCUGAGAGGGUGAACGGCCACAUUGGGACUGAGACACGGCCCAG
rnacentral:rRNA from 1 species